GACAAUCGUGUAGUAACCAUGGAGGUAGAGGCCAGAAACCUAGAUAAGAAGGACUUCCUGGGAAAAUCAGAUCCAUUUCUGGAGUUCUUCCGCCAGGGUGAUGGGAAAUGGCACCUGGUGUACAGAUCUGAGGUCAUCAAGAACAACCUGAACCCUACAUGGAAGCGUUUCUCAGUCCCCGUUCAGCAUUUCUGUGGUGGGAACCCCAGCACACCCAUCCAGGUGCAAUGCUCCGAUUAUGACAGUGACGGGUCACAUGAUCUCAUCGGUACCUUCCACACCAGCUUGGCCCAGCUGCAGGCAGUCCCGGCUGAGUUUGAAUGCAUCCACCCUGAGAAGCAGCAGAAAAAGAAAAGCU
rnacentral:misc_RNA from 1 species